AGAGUUUGAUCAUGGCUCAGAGCGAACGCUGGCGGCGUGCUUAACACAUGCAAGUCGAGUGCGCGCCUGUAGCAAUACAGGUGGCGCACGGCGCACGGGUGCGUAACACGUGGGUAAUCUGCCCUUCGAUGGGGAAUAACUCCGGGAAACCGAAGCUAAUUCCGCAUAACAUUCCGGGGAUUCCGGUUCCUGGAUUCAAAGGCGUAAGUCGUCGGAGGAGGAGCCCGCGCACGAUUAGCUAGUUGGUGAGGUAAUGGCUCACCAAGGCUAUGAUCGUUAGCUGGUCUGAGAGGAUGGCCAGCCACACUGGAACUGAGACACGGUCCAGACUCCUACGGGAGGCAGCAGUGGGGAAUCUUGCACAAUGGGCGAAAGCCUGAUGCAGCGACGCCGCGUGGGGGAUGAAGCUUCUCGGAGUGUAAACCCCUUUCGACCGGGACGAAUACCUCGCAAGAGGGGUGACGGUACCGGUAUAAGAAGCCCCGGCUAACUACGUGCCAGCAGCCGCGGUAAGACGUAGGGGGCCAGCGUUGCUCGGAAUUACUGGGUGUAAAGGGUUCGUAGGCGGUGUGGCAAGUCGGGAGUGAAAUCCCUGGGCUUAACCCAGGGGCUGCUUCCGAAACUGCUGUGCUUGAGUGUGGGAGAGGCGCGUGGAAUUGCAGGUGUAGCGGUGAAAUGCGUAGAUAUCUGCAGGAACACCCGUGGCGAAAGCGGCGCGCUGGACCACUACUGACGCUGAGGAACGAAAGCUGGGGGAGCAAACAGGAUUAGAUACCCUAGUAGUCC
rnacentral:rRNA from 1 species